rnacentral:rRNA from 1 species
GACGAACGCUGGCGGCGUGCUUAACACAUGCAAGUCGAACGAAGAGCGCUGGAUGCUUGCUUCUAUCCGUCUUAGUGGCGAACGGGUGAGUAACGCGUAAUCAACCUGCCCUUCAGAGGUGGACACCAGUUGGAAACGCCUGCUAAUACCGCAUACGCUCCAUUCUCGGCAUCGGUAGUGGAGGAACGGUGGCCUCUAUUUAUAUGCUAUCACUGAAGCAUGGGAUUGCGUCUGAUUCGCAAGUUGGAGGGGUCACGUCGCACCAAGGCGAUGAUCAGUAGCAGGUCGGAGAGGAUGAGCGGCCACAUUGGGAGUGAGACACGGCCCAGACUGAUACGGGAGGCAGCAGUGGGGAAUCGUGCGCAAUGGACGAGAGUCUGAGGGAGCAACGCCGCGUGAGGGAUGACGGACGUCGGGUUGUAAAGCACUGUUAAUGGGGACGAAUGGUUCUUGUGCGAAUAGUGCGAGGAUGUGACGGUACCGGAAAAGAAAGCCACGGCUAACUACGUG